rnacentral:rRNA from 1 species
GCUUAGUGGCGAACGGGUGAGUAACGCGUGAGUAACCUGCCCUAGAGUGGGGGACAACAGUUGGAAACGACUGCUAAUACCGCAUAAGCCCACGGUACCGCAUGGUACUGAGGGAAAAGGAUUUAUUCGCUUUAGGAUGGACUCGCGUCCAAUUAGCUAGUUGGUGAGGUAACGGCCCACCAAGGCGACGAUUGGUAGCCGGACUGAGAGGUUGAACGGCCACAUUGGGACUGAGACACGGCCCAGACUCC